CCUACGGGAGGCAGCAGUAGGGAAUCUUCCACAAUGGGCGAAAGCCUGAUGGAGCAACGCCGCGUGGGUGAAGAAGGUCUUCGGAUCGUAAAACCCUGUUGUUAGAGAAGAAAGAGCGUGAGAGUAACUGUUCACGUUUCGACGGUAUCUAACCAGAAAGCCACGGCUAACUACGUGCCAGCAGCCGCGGUAAUACGUAGGUGGCAAGCGUUAUCCGGAUUUAUUGGGCGUAAAGGGAACGCAGGCGGUCUUUUAAGUCUGAUGUGAAAGGCUUCGGCUUAACCGGAGUAGUGCAUUGGAAACUGGGAGACUUGAGUGCAGAAGAGGAGAGUGGAACUCCAUGUGUAGCGGUGAAAUGCGUAGAUAUAUGGAAGAACACCAGUGGCGAAAGCGGCUCUCUGGUCUGUAACUGACGCUGAGGUUCGAAAGCGUGGGUAGCAAACAGGAUUAGAUACCCGGGUAGUC
rnacentral:rRNA from 1 species